CACACACACACACACACACAGUCAGGCACACACACUCACUAGCAGACACACACACACUCACUGACACACAGUCAGACACACACAUACACACUAACAGACAAACACAGUCAGACACACACACUAACAGACACACACACACUAGCAGACACACACACAAACUCACACACACACUAACAAACACACACAUUAACAGACACACACUCACUGACACACACACUCACAGGCAAACACACUCACACUAACAGACACA